rnacentral:lncRNA from 1 species
CUCAAAAAUAGAAAAUAAAAUUUAUUUACUGAAAAAGAAAAGCUUAACACAUGAUCCAUGUGCACAACCCACGUGAGAUCUACAAGCUCUGGCACAAUCCACAUCUCUACAUACACCACGCUGGAAACAUCCAGCAUGCACAUCGCGCACAGUCCCUCACGUCAGACUCACUCUGUGCUAGCUCUUCACUGCCGCGCAGCCACACAUCCAUUAACAUGGCUUACAACACAGCCACCUGAUUUCACUGACCACCGAAAGAAAAUAGCUUUCCCUGCAUCACCUUGAUCUAAGCCAAAGAACAGCUAACAGCAGCCACUUCCCACCCUCAUUCCCAGCUCCCUCCCUCUGACCUCCUCUCACCAGGGAUGGCUCAGUGUACACAGGAAAGGGAGUCACCCAACAGGCUGGCGCUCAGGGCAAACAGCCUGGCGGCCUGCCGAGUAACCGCAUGAGGUACUGGCCAUGAUUUCAGACAAUCGGCCUCGCUUCCUUCCCCUAAUGGACUGACGUGUAAUGUACUCGGGGAAAAUUGAAUUCUAAGGCAGACUGGAAGCUGCCUCCUAAGCACCGCACCCUGCCACCCCUGCUGUCUGUCCCCUGGGGGAGGAAGCAGCAUUCUGAGGCCCGGGGUGACCCUGAGGCCUGCCCUAGUAGCUGACCAGCUACAGGAAAAAGAAAAAUAAGAUAAACAGACAAAAAACAACCCAAGCGCAGAGCCCUUGCUGUGAGCAGGGAAGAGGAUGCUGUAAACGGACAUACACUGCGAUUCUGCACUGUCAAGAAAGAUGAGGUGAACCUGUAGUGUUGGACACGGAUGAUAUUUGGUGACAGUUCCUAGGCAGAGUGAAGAGCAAAUGCCAGUCACGCUCCUCACAGGAAGCAGCCGCACUGAGGAGGGACAUGGCCCACCCAGGAGCAGCAUUUGGAGAAAGAACCAAGAAAGCUCUGAGAGAGCUACGUCUGGGCUCACGGGCACCUGAGGCUGCACAGGACACAGGACAGCAGGGCCCUGCGCUGUGCCUCCAGCAGUUCCAGGAACUCAGAGGCCUCCACCGAAGCACCAGGGACAGGACACGGGUCUGCCCCUUCACACCGAAAGCAACUCUCCGGGUGGCAACAGCAAGACGGCCAGGCCCACAGGUGGGACAGAGCUGACUGUUUCUGAGCGCACUGUGGUCACGUCUGAGCCUGAGUCGUGAGAGGGCGCCACCUCUACCUAUCCCAGCUGGGGCCCUGGUCACCUGAGCACCUGUUACAGACCCCCAACAGCAGAAAGGCUGGCCGCAGAGGCUCACCCUCCUGGGGGAGAACGAGUAUCCCAUGCUGACAGCUUCGGGCCUGACACACUGCCAGACAGGCCAGCACUCACCGUGGAGAGUCCACUCUCCCAACCCUCCACCUGGAGGGCAGCCCUGCUGGCUUUGGAACAGGAGAAAAAGAAAAAGCUGGGCUGCCAGGGUGAGCCACAGCCCUCACAAACUCGGAUGAAGCACACACAAAGCCCU